CAGACUCCUACGGGAGGCAGCAGUGGGGAAUAUUGCACAAUGGGCGAAAGCCUGAUGCAGCGACGCCGCGUGCGGGAUGACGGCCUUCGGGUUGUAAACCGCUUUCAGCAGGGAAGAAGCGCAAGUGACGGUACCUGCAGAAGAAGCGCCGGCUAACUACGUGCCAGCAGCCGCGGUAAUACGUAGGGCGCGAGCGUUAUCCGGAAUUAUUGGGCGUAAAGAGCUCGUAGGCGGUUUGCCGCGUCUGCUGUGAAAGCCCGGGGCUUAACCCCGGGUGUGCAGUGGGUACGGGCAGACUAGAGUGCAGUAGGGGAGACUGGAAUUCCUGGUGUAGCGGUGAAAUGCGCAGAUAUCAGGAGGAACACCGAUGGCGAAGGCAGGUCUCUGGGCUGUCACUGACGCUGAGGAGCGAAAGCAUGGGGAGCGAACAGGAUUAGAUACCCUGGUAGUCCAUGCCGUAAACGUUGGGCACUAGGUGUGGGGGACAUUCCACGUUUUCCGCGCCGUAGCUAACGCAUUAAGUGCCCCGCCUGGGGAGUACGGCCGCAAGGCUAAAACUCAAAGGAAUUGACGGGGGCCCGCACAAGCGGCGGAGCAUGCGGAUUAAUUCGAUGCAACGCGAAGAACCUUACCAAGGCUUGACAUGGACCGGACCGCUGCAGAGAUGCAGCUUCCCUUCGGGGCUGGUUCACAGGUGGUGCAUGGUUGUCGUCAGCUCGUGUCGUGAGAUGUUGGGUUAAGUCCCGCAACGAGCGCAACCCUUGUCCUAUGUUGCCAGCACGUAAAGGUGGGGACUCAUGGGAGACUGCCGGGGUCAACUCGGAGGAAGGUGGGGAUGACGUCAAAUCAUCAUGCCCCUUAUGUCUUGGGCUUCACGCAUGGUACAAUGGCCGGUACAGUGGGUUGCGAUACUGUGAGGUGGAGCUAAUCCCUAAAAGCCGGUCUCAGUUCGGAUCGAAGUCUGCAACUCGACUUCGUGAAGUUGGAGUCGCUAGUAAUCGCAGAUCAGCAACGCUGCGGUGAAUACGUUCCCGGGCCUUGUACACACCGCC
rnacentral:rRNA from 1 species